UGAUAGCGUUGAUCCGCAAGGUUGCUGCCGGCACGAAUACAUAAGUGCCCUCAGGUUUUUGCGGGGAGUAAAUGUCAAGACAUAUCGUUGGCGACAA
rnacentral:ncRNA from 1 species